GUUUUCACUUUGGCAGUAUAUGUAUUAAAAUUGAAAGGACAGAGAAGAUUAGCAUGGUCUCUGAGCAACCAUACAUUAAAUUUGUGGAGAAUCCCGUAUAAUU
rnacentral:snRNA from 1 species